rnacentral:rRNA from 1 species
UACGGAGGAUCCGAGCGUUAUCCGGAUUUAUUGGGUUUAAAGGGAGCGUAGGUGGAUUGUUAAGUCAGUUGUGAAAGUUUGCGGCUCAACCGUAAAAUUGCAGUUGAAACUGGCAGUCUUGAGUACAGUAGAGGUGGGCGGAAUUCGUGGUGUAGCGGUGAAAUGCUUAGAUAUCACGAAGAACUCCGAUUGCGAAGGACAGCUCACUGGACUGCAACUGACACUGAGGCUCGAAAGUGUGGGUAUCAAACAGG